GGGCUCAUAUUGAAACCUAGUGAUGUAUGAGUUAGUGGCGGACGGGUGAGUAACGCGUGGAGAACCUGCCGUAUACUGGGGGAUAACACUUAGAAAUAGGUGCUAAUACCGCAUAAGCGCACAGCUUCGCAUGAAGCAGUGUGAAAAACUCCGGUGGUAUACGAUGGAUCCGCGUCUGAUUAGCUGGUUGGCGGGGUAACAGCCCACCAAGGCGACGAUCAGUAGCCGGCCUGAGAGGGUGAACGGCCACAUUGGGACUGAGACACGGCCCAAACUCCUACGGGAGGCAGCAGUGGGGAAUAUUGCACAAUGGGGGAAACCCUGAUGCAGCGACGCCGCGUGAGUGAAGAAGUAUUUCGGUAUGUAAAGCUCUAUCAGCAGGGAAGAAAAUGACGGUACCUGACUAAGAAGCCCCGGCUAACUACGUGCCAGCAGCCGCGGUAAUACGUAGGGGGCAAGCGUUAUCCGGAUUUACUGGGUGUAAAGGGAGCGUAGACGGCAGCGCAAGUCUGAAGUGAAAUCCCAUGGCUUAACCAUGGAACUGCUUUGGAAACUGUGCAGCUGGAGUGCAGGAGAGGUAAGCGGAAUUCCUAGUGUAGCGGUGAAAUGCGUAGAUAUUAGGAGGAACACCAGUGGCGAAGGCGGCUUACUGGACUGUAACUGACGUUGAGGCUCGAAAGCGUGGGGAGCAAACAGGAUUAGAUACCCUGGUAGUCCACGCCG
rnacentral:rRNA from 1 species